rnacentral:rRNA from 1 species
UACGGAGGAGGCAAGCGUUAUCCGGAAUUAUUGGGCGUAAAGCGUCUGCAGGUGGCACCUCAAGUCUGCUGUCAAAGACCGGGGCUUAACCCCAGAAAGGCAGUGGAAACUGAAGUGCUAGAGUGCAGUAGGGGUAGAGGGAAUUCCCGGUGUAGCGGUGAAAUGCGUAGAGAUCGGGAAGAACAUCGGUGGCGAAAGCGCUCUGCUGGACUGCAACUGACACUCAGGGACGAAAGCUAGGGGAGCGAAUGGG